rnacentral:rRNA from 1 species
CCUACGGGCGGCAGCAGUGAGGAAUAUUGGUCAAUGGACGAGAGUCUGAACCAGCCAAGUAGCGUGAAGGAUGACUGCCCUAUGGGUUGUAAACUUCUUUUAUAAAGGAAUAAAACGAGGCACGUGUGCCUUUUUGCAUGUACUUUAUGAAUAAGGAUCGGCUAACUCCGUGCCAGCAGCCGCGGUAAUACGGAGGAUCCGAGCGUUAUCCGGAUGUAUUGGGUUUAAAGGGAGCGUAGAUGGGUUGUUAAGUCAGUUGUGAAAGUUUGCGGCUCAACCGUAAAAUUGCAAUUGAUACUGGCAGUCUUGAGUACAGUUGAGGUAGGCGGAAUUCGUGGUGUAGCGGUGAAAUGCUUAGAUAUCACGAAGAACCCCGAUUGCGAAGGCAGCUGACUAAACUGUGACUGACAUUGAUGCUCGAAAGUGUGGGUAUCAAACAGGAUUAGAUACCCCUGUAGUC